CCCCAACACAACAAUGCUGCCUUAAAUAAAAAAUGCCUGAAAAUAUGUGCCUCUCCACCCACAAUCCUGGCUGUGCAAGAAACACUUGACUUCCUCGACUCUUCUCUUUCAAGUCCUUCUUUCACCCUAGGUCACUUCUGUCCCCUGCCUCCAUUCUUAGAAAGCGCUGGUCCUCCUGUCUGUGCCCCAGCCGACGCUCCAUGCACGGCCUGUUGGGGUGUCCCUUCCCUCCUCCGCCCUGCCUGAAGCUCAAGUGUCACCUGUACAGCUGAACCCCAGGUCUGUUUCGGGGCACGGGGAAACAGUCUACAUCCCUCAGGACUUAGGAUGCUCAAAUCUGGUAGGUGUCUCAGGCCCUGAGAGUCCCAAGCAUCAUGGAGGCCUCACCGUUCAUGCAGCGAUCCCUGUCAGACGCCGCCUAGGGCACAGCAGACCCGCCACUGAUGCAGAAGAAAUACGAUGGGGCGGGCAAGUGCCUGCCAGUGCCCAGUGCAAGAACUGGGCUGCAGCUGCUUUUCUUGCAGAAAGACAGGAGGCAGUUUGAGGAGGAACCUGCCCCUGCAGGCAAGGGCCAAAGCACCCUCCUCCUUCAGAGCCCCUGCAGCACCGUGGCCCAAGCCCACAGAGGGGUGCUGGGAGAGCAGAAGAAGAUGGACUGGCCUGAGAGUGGGCAGCAUGCUCUGUGGAGGGCUCACCCUGGCAAGCUCACAGGGCCCCUGAUGUCAAUCAGUCCCAGGGGACAGGCCUGGGGGCUCAUCACAGACGCAAGCACCAGCCAGACACCAGCGCAUGAACUGACAGAGAGAAUGUUGCUGCUGGGGGCCUGUCCCACUCUCUGCAGCUGCUGCGUCCUCUCGCAGCAGGGGCAUUGCCACAGGAAGCCAGAUGACCACUCGGAAGUUCUGGGUGACACCAACUCAGUGCAAAGGGUAAUGGUUGGCCAAACUCCACGGCCCUUGUCCUGGAGCUACAUCCAGGUCCUGACGCUCCCUCUCAGGGUUUCUUCACACGCUUCCUUCAGCUCCAUUCCUCACAUUCACCUAGAUGGCAGGGUGUGACAAGGACCGUGUCUGCGGACUGAGCCUGCCACUCAUGGCGUGUCUGUCACAUCAGCUUUUUUGGGGGCAACCCAUUCCUUGAGGCCACCUCCCGGAGAGCCACUCACACGCGUGGAGGUGUGGGCAUGGCCUGCCCUGCCGGCCACGGGACAGAGGCCCACCUGGCAGUGCUGGCCACAUCUCCUCAGCCGCACUCGCAGAUGGCUGUCUUCCAAGUUCAGGGCGGGACGCAGGUCACUGGUCACCACCGCUCACCCAGCAGGCAGGCUGAGCCCAGUUAGGCUGCAGCACCAGUCGAUGAGGAGGAACACCUUUGAGAACAUCCUGUCAUGAACCCUCGCCCAAAUGGACUUCAAGCACUAGGGCAUUCGGCCUCACAGCAACAGGACGCCAGGGGUGGGG
rnacentral:lncRNA from 1 species